rnacentral:rRNA from 1 species
GAUGAACGCUGGCGGCGUGCCUAAUACAUGCAAGUCGAGCGAACAGACGAGGAGCUUGCUCCUCUGACGUUAGCGGCGGACGGGUGAGUAACACGUGGAUAACCUACCUAUAAGACUGGGAUAACUUCGGGAAACCGGAGCUAAUACCGGAUAAUAUAUUGAACCGCAUGGUUCAAUAGUGAAAGACGGUUUUGCUGUCACUUAUAGAUGGAUCCGCGCCGCAUUAGCUAGUUGGUAAGGUAACGGCUUACCAAGGCAACGAUGCGUAGCCGACCUGAGAGGGUGAUCGGCCACACUGGAAAUGAGACACGGUCCAGACUCCUACGGGAGGCAGCAGUAGGGAAUCUUCCGCAAUGGGCGAAAGCCUGACGGAGCAACGCCGCGUGAGUGAUGAAGGUCUUCGGAUCGUAAAACUCUGUUAUUAGGGAAGAACAAAUGUGUAAGUAACUAUGCACGUCUUGACGGUACCUAAUCAGAAAGCCACGGCUAAAUACGUGC